ensembl:lncRNA uncharacterized LOC114865014
UAUGUACUAUUAACUCCAUUAAAAUACACUUAGAAUUACACUAAUUAUGUACUUCUAGGUAACUAAGUAUACUGGAUAACUAAACCAUUAGUUUACUUUAUACAGACUAUUAGUCUGUAUGUGUUCUGUAUGUGUAUAAUGUUCAGUAGUAAUGCAGGUAGGAAGACCCAGGACACGCUGGAGAGAACGCCUUGGGGUCCCACCGGAAGAGCUGGAGGAAGUGUCCAGGGAGAAGGAAGUCUGGAACUGUCUGCUCAGACUGCUGCCCCCGCGACCCAGCCCCAAAUAAGCGGAUGAAAAUGGAUGGAUUGAUGGAUAGUAAUGCAUUUAUAACACAUUAGAUAAUGUUUAUUUAAUAUAUGAAAUGCUUUCUCUUAUCUGAUGGGGUUUAACCUUUAGUGCUGUCUGGUGUUUUAUAGAUGGACUAAAGGAAGGAAAGAACCAAACCAAGUCAAUCUUUUUUUACACUUUUCGUCACAACACACACAACUAAAAACAUUAGUGACAUGGAGCUUUGAGAACCUUUCAAAUAAUGAACAACAUAUAUACAGUACAAUACACAAUAAUACAAACUAUCUGCAAACACGGUUACUAUGGUAUUUACAUUGCUUAGAGAACAUGAUCUUCAUGAAUCGCUUUGUUUGUCCCCACUGGUUCAUACUAAUGUUCACAUCACUAGAGAACAUGAUGCAGCAUUAUCUGAUAAACACCAACUAUAGUGUUUGCUACCACCUAAAAAGUGAUAUUUAUUACUUAAAGGUAAGAGGUUACAGUUAACCAAACCACAGAACAUUAACACCAUUAUAUAUACUAUCUUUUAAUUCAAAAUGAAACUUACUGAGUUGGAAACUUACUUCUGCUUUCCACUUUCGUUUAACAACAACAAAGUGCAUCAUGAUUGGUCAGGACAGGGCCUUAUAUAGAGCUGGUACUGUACGCAGGCAAAACAUAGCUUUGAAUGCCUUCAGACCCCUUGAAAACAAACCAAAAAAAGCAGGAAAAAAAAGAAAAAAAAAAAACCUGCCUACCCCCAGGUGGGGGUAGGCUACCCCCAUCUGAGGGUGGGCAGGUUGCCAAAUGUGACGGACAGAGACAGACAGCAAGAUUCAUACACGACCCCCGUGGAGCCCUUUUUAAUAACAGAUCUCUGCGUGAGACCAUUGAAAACAAAUGCUCGUCUGUGCUCAACACACGACCCGCUCUCGAAAAAGAUGCAUAUGAAGUUAUCUGUGAUACGAAUGACGAAACACAUGUAAUAUUGUUCAGAAUCAAUUUGUGGCAUCCACGGGUUGUUUGGAACUUUUUUUUUGUUAUUGAUGAUGCCAACAUCCACCACUUAAGAUCCAUCACUAUGUUGGAUGAAGAGCAGCAGCCACGAAGCACCGUUUGGAUAGAUGAACAAAAUGAGUUAAUUUGGCAGAAAAUAAACAAAAUCAAACCGAAUGAUGACAUUAAUAAAUUACAGGAUCUCAUCAAUGAGCGUAAAGACAAAACAAAUCAAUAUGGAUGGGCUUUGAUUAUUUGCAGUGAUCAUUUAGAAGUAAUACCAGUGAAAAAGCCAGAUUUUAAUAAGUCAAAUAAAAAUUCAAAAAAAAAGAAUAUACAUGUAGAGCAAUUAUUAAUUGAAGAAAUUUGUGAAUUUAUGAAAAACUCUAAGAAGAAUGUCCUUAAUGUCAUAAUAUAUACAUAUAACAGUCCAUGUUUAAAAAGAGAUGUAAAAGACAAGAUUGACCCUUGUCUUAUUCAACUUAUAAAAUCUGCCUCUGAAUGGUACAGUAAGAAACACGCAGGAACUUAUGUAUUCUGCUCAAAGAGCUGGGGUCCACUCCACCACACAAAUUUAAAAUUUUUAACAUAUUCCAAACUGAUAAAUCCUGACAAUGUUUUUCAUGAAUACCUACAGAAACAAUACAAUAAAAGAUUUAAGAUGGACCAAACGUGUUUCAAAGAUAACACUAAAAAAAUAAAAAAAGUACAUGACAUAGAUAAACUGCACGUAACGCAAUUUAAUGAUGAACUGACAAGAGUUAAGAAUGAACUGACACGUAAGGAACUCACCAUUAAAGAACAUUUGGACUAUUUAGAGGAAGUGGUUAAUAACGAUAAUGAGAAUACAUCAGAAACUGUUAGGAAUAACAUUUAUGACAUGUUUUUAAAUAUGGAGCAGAAAUAUUUUGAGCAGGAAAUUGUUUUCAAUUCUAGACAAGAUAUAACAUCAGAUUUCAACAAUAUAAUUGUUAAAUGUUUACUAGAAGACCUUCCAUCCAUUUUCAAGGACAAAAGUUAUUUUAGGCUUCAUCAUGUCCAGCAGGAUCCGCUGAAAAAAAUAAAUGAUUGAAAACCAAACAAUAAAACAUUAACUAACUUGAAUCCUUGUUGUCUG